rnacentral:rRNA from 1 species
AUUGAACGCUGGCGGCAGGCUUAACACAUGCAAGUCGAGCGGAGUGAUGGUGCUUGCACUAUCACUUAGCGGCGGACGGGUGAGUAAUGCUUAGGCAUCUGCCUACUAGUGGGGGACAACAUCUCGAAAGGGAUGCUAAUACCGCAUACGUCCUACGGGAGAAAGCAGGGGAUCACUUGUGACCUUGCGCUAAUAGGUGAGCCUAAGUCGGAUUAGCUAGUUGGUGGGGUAAAGGCCUACCAAGGCGACGAUCUGUAGCGGGUCUGAGAGGAUGAUCCGCCACACUGGGACUGAGACACGGCCCAGACUCCUACGGGAGGCAGCAGUGGGGAAUAUUGGACAAUGGGGGGAACCCUGAUCCAGCCAUGCCGCGUGUGUGAAGAAGGCCUUAUGGUUGUAAAGCACUUUAAGCGAGGAGGAGGCUCUUUUGGUUAAUACUCAAGAUGAGUGGACGUUACUCGCAGAAUAAGCACCGGCUAACUCUGUGCCAGCCGCCGCCGUAAGAC